GUUUGCAGGGUGUGGAACUUGAGCUUCGAAAAUCUUCUGAACGUAUUACUGAAAUUAGGGCAAACAUUCUCUAUCUAAAAUUCAGGGAAUCAGCUAUGAGGGAGGUAAACGAGAAGACUAACAAGAGGGUUGCGCAGCUCAGCUUUAUUUCUUUAGGGCUCUGCCUUAUGGUUUCACUUUUUCAAGUUUGGCAUCUCAAACGCUUCUUCCUCAAGAGGAAGCUUAUCUAACUUCGUUGUGCUAUGUUAUUUUGAAAAAUCUUGUAACCUUGUGCCUUUUCUAGAGGUUCUAUAGUCAGGCUCCAGACCAAAUCAAUAAUGAAACACAUGUUUAAUU